GCGGUGGCGGCCUUCCUUAUCGCCUGUGAAGAGGCUAAGCUAACAGUGUGAUGUGGGAUCCUUAUGGGUCUCUGUGUUGUAAUUGCCUAAUUGCUUUUUUUUCCCCUGGUAUCGGAGGGUUCUGCUUUUUGUCAAAUGGGGCCGGAGUUCAUAAACAGCCAGCAGCGCCAUUCCCAGCAGCUCCCUCAACGUCGGAAUUCCGGGCUUUCCGAUUGGCCUGAGCCACCAAUUGCUCAUUGGCUCCUCCCUGUAGGACGGAUGGCCAUGCUGACAGCCAAUGGGGCCACAGCAGGGUGGUACAAAAGCAACCGGAGUCCAUGCUUGCCGUGCUUGAUGCAGCCGGACAAUCCACAGCUCCAACGAGGAAACAGCAAAUACGAUAGAGCUCAUCCUGUCCCUCAGGGAGAACAGGAGCUAGAGGCCUUG
ensembl:lncRNA